AUGGCCUGGAGCCCGGUCCUCCUUGCACGCCUCUGUCACUGCACAGGCAACCAGUCCCAGCCCGUGCUGACCCGGCCGCCCUCCCUCUGGGCAUCUCCGGGAACGACGGCCAGACUCACCUGCACCCUGAACAGGGACAUCGGUGUGGGCGGCUCUAACAUCGACUGGAUCCAGCAGCAGCCAGGGAGCCCUCCCCCAGAUCUGCUAUACUGCUCCUCAGACUCAAAUAAGCACCAGGGUCCCGGGGUCCCCGGCCGCUUCUCGGGCUCCAAAGAUGCCUCGGCCAAUGAGGGGCUUCUGCGCAUCUCGGGGCUGCAGACUGAGGCCGAGGCGGACUCUCACUGGGGUACAGGGCUCACGGCAGUGGGCGCAGCUACCGCUCCUCACAGCGUCUCAGAGAAGGAAGAAUUUCACAUGAACUUGGACCAGAUCCUACACACUCUCCCUGACAACACCCCCCAUAUCUUCCUCUACUCCUCUUUGCUCCUGCAUCCCUCAGGCUUCAGUCUCUCCUCUGGCUCCUCGGUCUAA